rnacentral:rRNA from 1 species
AUUGAACGCUGGCGGCAUGCCUUACACAUGCAAGUCGAACGGCAGCACGGGGCAACCUGGUGGCGAGUGGCGAACGGGUGAGUAAUGCAUCGAAACGUACCUUUCAGUGGGGGAUAACGUAGCGAAAGUUACGCUAAUACCGCAUAUUCUGUGAGUAGGAAAGCAGGGGAUCGCAAGACCUUGAGCUGAUUGAGCGGCCGAAGUCAGAUUAGCUAGUUGGUGAGGUAAAGGCUCACCAAGGCGACGAUCUGUAGCGGGUCUGGGAGGAUGAGCCGCCACACUGGAACUGAGACACGGUCCAAACUCCUACGGGAGGCAGCAGUGGGGAAUUUUGGACAAUGGGGGCAACCCUGAUCCAGCCAUGCCGCGUGAUUGAAGAAGGCCUUCGGGUUGUAAAGCUCUUUCGGCCGGGAAGAAAUAGCACGGGCUAAUACCCUGUGUGAAUGACGGUACCGGAAUAAGAAGCACCGGCUAACUACGUGCCAGCAGCCGCCGUAAUAC